rnacentral:rRNA from 1 species
UACGAAGGGGGCUAGCGUUGCUCGGAAUCACUGGGCGUAAAGGGUGCGUAGGCGGGUCUUUAAGUCAGGGGUGAAAUCCUGGAGCUCAACUCCAGAACUGCCUUUGAUACUGAGAUCUUGAGUCGGGAGAGGUGAGUGGAACUGCGAGUGUAGAGGUGAAAUUCGUAGAUAUUCGCAAGAACACCAGUGGCGAAGGCGGCUCACUGGCCCGAUACUGACGCUGAGGCGCGAAAGCGUGGGGAGCGAACAGG